GCAAGUCGAACGAGAUCUUCGGAUCUAGUGGCGGACGGGUGAGUAACGCGUGGGAACGUGCCCUUCUCUACGGAAUAGUCCCGGGAAACUGGGUUUAAUACCGUAUACGCCCUUCGGGGGAAAGAAUUUCAGGGAAGGAUCGGCCCGCGUUGGAUUAGGUAGUUGGUGGGGUAAUGGCCUACCAAGCCGACGAUCCAUAGCUGGUUUGAGAGGAUGAUC
rnacentral:rRNA from 1 species